rnacentral:rRNA from 1 species
UACGGAGGAUGCAAGCGUUAUCCGGAUUCAUUGGGUUUAAAGGGUGCGUAGGCGGGCUGACAAGUCAGGGGUGAAAUCUUUCGGCUUAACCGGGAAAUUGCCAUAGAAACUGUCAGUCUUGAGUCAGGUUGAGGUAGGCGGAAUGUGUAAUGUAGAGGUGAAAUGCUUAGAUAUUACACAGAACACCGAUUGCGUAGGCAGCUUACUGGACCGGCACUGACGCUGAGGCACGAAAGCGUGGGGAGCGAACAGG